rnacentral:rRNA from 1 species
AUACGGAGGAUGCGAGCGUUAUCCGGAUUUAUUGGGUUUAAAGGGAGCGUAGGUGGGAUAUUAAGUCAGCUGUGAAAGUUUGGGGCUCAACCUUAAAAUUGCAGUUGAUACUGGUUUCCUUGAGUACGGUACAGGUGGGCGGAAUUCGUGGUGUAGCGGUGAAAUGCUUAGAUAUCACGAAGAACUCCGAUCGCGUAGGCAGCUCACCGGGCCGGAACUGACUCUGAUGCUCGAAAGUGCGGGUAUCAAACAGGAUUAGAUGCCCUGGUAGUCCGCACAGUAAACGAUGAAUACUCGCUGUUUGCGAUACACUGUAAGCGGCCAAGCGAAAGCGUUAAGUAUUCCACCUGGGGAGUACGCCGGCAACGGUGAAACUCAAAUGAAUUGACGGGG